ensembl:lncRNA
AGGGGGCGUGUCACUAAAUGACCGAUAGGGGCGCUGUGUUGAAGCCACCAGGCCUCCAUCUUGGCUCCCCCACCGUUAACAACACUUUAGGACGUUAUAGAAAUGAACUUACUAAAUGUCCCCGACACGUUUAUUGAAUUACAGACAGCUUUUACAUCCGCUAAACAAAUGAAAAAUAUUGUCCUCAACGUAUAUAUAUAUAUAUAUAUUUGUUUAAGUACUAAUGUUACCGUCCUCACUACUACAACAAAAACAUUUAAAUGAAAUACUGAACAAUUACAAAGGACUAGUUUUUCUGAGUAGCUUCAAAGUCUCUCCAAAAACAUUAUCAGCAAUGCAGGGUUUUUAUAUAUAUAUAUAUAUAGAUACACACGUCAUUGGAAUGACAGAGCUCUGCCGCUUUUUAAUAGCUGUUUAAAUGGUGGCGUUACGCCGUGGGGGAAGUCGGCGCGGGGGAAGUCGGCGUGGGGGAAGUCACCGUGGGGGAAGUCACCGUGGGGGAAGUCACCGUGGG